AUGGGCUCGCGUCCCAGAUCACAAGAAUGUCCCCUUCCUCUCGAUCUCAUUAAGUCCGAGAGGCACGGGGCCGAGGACGUGUGCCAGAUCUGCGCCGACGGCCUAGGCACCACGGUGGAUGGCGGGUCUUCACUACCUGCGACGUCUGCCGCUUCCCGGUCUAGUGCCCCUGCUACGUGCAUGAGCGCAAGGACGGCACCCAGGCCUGCCUCCAGUGCAAGACCAAGUACUAGCGCUUCUGCCAGCUCGACCGCAGCGCCAAGGGCUUCAUCUCCGAGGACGAGUUCCUCUCCAUCCUGGAGUUCUCCACCAACCCGCUCUCCCAUCCACCGAAGCUCUGCUUUUAGUGCUGUCAUUCAGAUUCAGAGAUGA
rnacentral:rRNA from 1 species